GGCGAGUGAAGCGGGAAAAGCUCAAGGUUUUAAUCUCCUCGGCCCAGCGCCUUGGCGAGUUGUAACCUAUGGAUGCGUAUACUGUGACCGGAAGCAAAUUAAGUCCCUUGGAAUAGGGCGCCAGAGAGGGUGAUAGCCCCGUCUACUUGCUUCGCAGGCCGCUCUAUGUUGCGUAUUCUGAGAGUCGGGUUGUUUGGGAAUGCAGCCCCAAUUGGGAGGUAAACUUCUUCCAAAGCUAAAUAUUCAGGCAAGAGACCGAUAGCGAACAAGUACCGUGAGGGAAAGUUGAAAAGAACUCUGGAGAGAGAGUGAAAAGUACGUGAAACCAUUAGUAGGGAACCGCUUGCACGGUGCACUGAGCGGCAGUUUCUUCGGAGGCUGUUGCCGACCAACGCCAGUUCGACCUGCCGGAAAAAGCCAGAGUGAAGGUGGCAUCGCUCCUAGAGGGAUGUGUUAUAGCACUUUGGCAGAUACGGUGGGUUCAAGGACUGAGGACUGCGGUACCCUUCUUUCGAGAGGGCGUGUUUUUGGGAGGGGGCUUUUGAUUGGCUGAUUAGGGACAGCGUGCUGACCC
rnacentral:rRNA from 1 species